rnacentral:lncRNA from 1 species
UAUUCCAAUUUCAUGAUCUAAGUCGCAAGUUUAGCAAUAUAUCUCGGGUUGGCGUGACUCUAAUCACCAUGGUUACAAGUUUGUCAUGUUAAUUUAUGGUGAUCAAAACUAAUUUUUUUAUGCCUUUUGAUAUUUUGAUAUUUGAACAUGUUUUUUUCUAAAAAAGAUUAUCUAACCCCGUGGUGAAAUGUAGGUGUCGAGGCCAGUAAUAUCUAAAAUCCAAUGAACAUUUAUUUAAUAUUGAUAUAGGAGUCACAAACUUGAAAAUACUUUGUUAUUUAAAAUCAAAUUGAGUUUCUC